rnacentral:rRNA from 1 species
AGCUCCACUAGCGUAUAUUAAAGUUGCUGCAGUUAAAAAGCUCGUAGUCGGAUCUCGGGAUCGUGUCGGUGAUUUGGUUGCUUCUCCUGCGUUUCGGCGUUGGGGGUUGUGGCCGGUCAUCGGCCCUGCCGGCGAGGUCCCUACCUUUGGUGGGGUUCCACCUCGCUCGUGCAGCCCGCCGUUGCGAUUUGGCGGGUGUCCUUAAUUGGAUGCCCGUCUCGAUCGUGACCAUUUUACCGUGAACAAAUCGUAGUGCGCAAAGCAGGCUCUCUAUCGCUCGAACGGUAGCGCAUGGAAUAAUGGAAGAGGACUUGCUCUCGCUUCUGUUGGUCUCACGGGGGCAGGUAAUGAUCAAGAGGGACGGAUGGGGGCAGAGGUAUGUCUCGGCGAGAGGUGAAAUUCUUGGACCCUAGACAGACCCUCGAGAGCGAAAGCAUCUGCCAAAGAUGUUUCCA